rnacentral:rRNA from 1 species
GACGUAGGAGGCGAGCGUUGUCCGGAGUUACUGGGCGUAAAGCGCGCGCAGGCGGCCCUGUGCGCUGCCCGGUGAAAGCUCCCGGCUUACCUGGGAGAGGUUCGGCAGGACGGCAGGGCUGGAGGGUGGGAGAGGUCGGUGGAAUUCCUGGUGUAGCGGUGGAAUGCGCAGAUAUCAGGAGGAACACCAAUGGCGAAGGCAGAUCUCUGGGCCGUAACUGACGCUGAGGAGCGAAAGCAUGGGGAGCGAACAGG